CCUGCCAGGCUGUCAUGUUAUCUCUUAAAGUGUUUGUUUCGCUUCAGGGCUUAGAAGGUGAGCUGACUGAGCUCGGUUCCCCAGAUAUUUGCCGAGUGUUAUUAGUGUUGAUCUUUACGUUAUUUUCCCUCGGUAUUAUCGACCUCAUAAAUAAAGGGGGAGCUCAAACAAAUGGGAGGUGUCCUAAAAUUUCCAGUGGAAGGAAGGAAGGAGAGAAAUCUGAAGAGGCACAAAUUUGUGCUGUGUGUCACUUCAGCUUGUUCAACUGCCGGUGCUUAUAUGUACUCAUUUUAAAAAUAGUCAGCUUGGACUACAAAAUUAAGCCAGUGUGAAAUACUUGACAAUGUUUAUAGCACUGGGGGACCAAUAGUCAUUAAAGUCCUACACCCUUAAUUUUAUAACACUAAACUGCAACAGGGAAGACAAACCUGUCCCGACUAAAUCUGCAAGCUGACUUUGAUCUUGGAGACAUGUCUUGGAAAACCAUUAAACCUCGAAAGGAAAGACAAACCUGCCCAUCUGACAGACUUUGAUCUCAGAGACACAUCUUGAAGCUAAAGUAAUCAAAGUGGAUGCUACAAUGUGCAAGAAUUUUCCAAGCAUGUGAAGCAUUUAAAAGUAUUCAACAGGAAAGACAAACCUGCCCUACUGAAUCUGCAAGCUGACCGACUUUGAUCUCGGAGACACAUCUUGAAGCUAAAAGUGGAUGCUACAAUGUGCAAGAAUUUUCCAAGCAGGUGAAGCAUUCAAAAGUAUUCGACAGGGAAGACAAACCUGCACUACAGAAUCUGCAAACUGACCGACUUUGAUCUCGGAGACACAUCUGAAGCUAAAGUAAUCAAAGUGGAUGUUAGUGCUAAAUCCUGAACACUAACAAGAAUUAUCUGAAGACUAAAUUAACCUGAUUAAACUUGGAUCUAUUCCUAGUCAUCAAAUCUGUAAACUAGCUUGAAAAUCUAUUGUACAGAUGUCAUAAUUCCGAAGUUCGACUAUCAAGAAUUGUGCCAAUUGACAACUUGGCUCUUGAACUUGGUCAAGAAUUGUGUUGAUUGAGCUUAGUAGCUCACCAUCAAGAAUUGUGCCGAUUGAGCUUGGCUCUCGUAACCCAGGAGCUCUACCAUUCAAGGCUGAGUGUGCUGAUGCUGAUUAAACUUGGCUCUAUUCCUAGUCAUCAAGUCUGUGAACUAGCUUGAACAUCAAUAUUGUACUGAUGUUAUGACCCCAGAGCUCGACCAAGAAUUGUGCUGAUUGUGCUUGGCUUUUAUAACCCAGGAGCUCGACCAUUAUGACUACUGAUUAAACUUGGCUCUGUUCCUGGUUAUCAAGUCUGUGAACUAGCUUGAACAUUAAUAUUGUACUGAUGUUAUAAUUAAGAAGCUGUACAUAAUCCAGGAGCUCGACCAUCAAGAAUUGUGCUGAUUGAGCUUGGCUCUUUUAAUCCAGGACCUUAACCAUUUGACACUGCUGGUUAAACUUGACUCUGUUCCUGGUCAUCAAGUCUGUGAACUAGCUUGAACAUCAAUAUUGUACUGAUGUUAUAAUCCAGAGGCUGUGGUUAUUAAACUUGAUUCUAUUCUAUUUGUGGUCAUCAAGUCUGUGAACUAGUUUGAACACAAUGUUGUACUGAUGAUAUAAUCCAGAAGCUCUACUAUCAAUAACUGUGCUGAUUGAACUUGGCUCUACUCCUGGUUAUCAAGUCUGAAUAAGAAGACGACUACUUGUGAUCAACCCAACAGUUUGUUACAGCCAGUAUUCCUGGUUAUCAAGUCUGACUGAAUAAGCUAAAUAAGAAUUGUGAUCAACCCUGAACUGUUUGUUACAUCCAACAGGGCUCUACUCCUGGUUUUCAAGUCUGAAUAAGCAGAAUAAGACUUGUGAUCAGCCCAACAGUUUGUUACAUCCAGUAUUCCUGGUUAUCAAGUCUGAAUGGAAUAAGCUGAAUAAGAAUUGUGAUCAACCCUGAACUGUUUGUUAUAUCCAAUAGUGAUAAGAAUUGUCAAAAGAUUCAGGUUUAAAACUAAGAUGUACUGUCAUACAUUGAGAAGUUAGUAACCUAACCUAAAGUACUGUGUUGUUCUAUACGUGCAGAGAAGCUAAACUCACAGACAUGUUGACGAGGAAAGAUGUGCCGAGUAGGUGACAUUAUGUUGUCAUCUCACAUGAAAAUAAGCCAAACCCAUGUUCAAGGUAUACGAGAAGACUUGGCGUCUGCUUCGUCUACUUUGAUGCAACUUGGUGUUGCUCUGCUUUGUCUGCUUUAAUGCAACUUAGUGUUGCUUGUGGCUUUAAGUAUGAAAACCCAAGGAGCAGGUGUUUGCUUCAAUGUCAGUUUUGAAACAGAAGGAAAACUGAAAAUUUGGGGAAGCUGUAUGUGCCUGUGCCAACAUAUCCAGACUCAUGAAUACCAUGCCAUCAUAAACUGAGAAGUCAAGCUCAAUACUGGACUGCCAUUCAAGUUUACUUGCAGAGACCCCAAACUUCUGAACAUACAAAACACUAAACUGGAUUAUUGCCACUCAAGUUUACUUGAAGAGACCUCUUCAACUCCUGAACAUAAAUGAAGAGAUGUAAAACACUUCACUGUAGUAUUGCCAAAUGAAGAGAUGUAAAACACUUUACUGUAGUAUUGCCCUGAAGUCUAAGAUACAUGUUCUUGCAUGGUGCACAGAAACCAAUCUUUUUCACUAGUCCCUUCACUAGACUGCCCUGAAGUUUGCUAAAUGCUGGUGUAUGCUGAUGCAUGGUGUACAGAGAAGCCAACCUCUUUACUAGUCCUACUGACAUCUACCAGAGAAGCCAACCUCUUCAAUGAUAAUACUGAAACGUCUGCCAACUAGUUGAUAAAAUGCAUGGUCCUGUAUCUUGCACGG